rnacentral:rRNA from 1 species
CCUACGGGUGGCAGCAGUGGGGGAUAUUGCACAAUGGGGGAAACCCUGAUGCAGCGACGCCGCGUGGGUGAAGAAGUAUUUCGGUAUGUAAAGCCCUAUCAGCAGGGAAGAAAGAAGACGGUACCUGACUAAGAAGCCCCGGCUAACUACGUGCCAGCAGCCGCGGUAAUACGUAGGGGGCGAGCGUUAUCCGGAUUCACUGGGUGUAAAGGGAGCGUAGACGGCCGUGCAAGCCAGAAGUGAAAGCCCGGGGCCCAACCCCGGGACUGCUCUUGGAACUGUGCGGCUGGAGUGCGGGAGGGGCAGGCGGAAUUCCUGGUGUAGCGGUGAAAUGCGUAGAGAUCAGGAGGAACACCGGCGGCGAAGGCGGCCUGCUGGACCGCGACUGACGUUGAGGCGCGAAAGCGUGGGGAGCGAACAGGAUUAGAUACCCGAGUAGUC